UCCAGAGUCCGGUCACCCCACUCCGCUGUGAUUGCGGAGGGGUCGGCGAGGGGACGACUCCUCCUCUCUGCAGAGGUGGGGGGAGGGGGCCAAAGUUAGUUUAAAGAUGAUUCGUUCUCAUUAUUUAUUAAACCGCAGGGUCACGAAGACCGAAAAGCAGCGUUCCUUGUCCGCGGGGGCCCCGGGGUGGGGAAUGGUGGGAGAGGGAGUCUGGGAAGGACGCUUUCUGUAGGGGAGAAGUCUUCGGGUCCAGGAGGUCGGAGCCGGAAGGCCCGACAAGCCAGAACGGAAGCCCCGGGGGGGGGGGGUUCUAGGGUGUGGCAGAAUGCUGACUUUUCACUCCCCUCCUGCAGAAACCGCAGGGCCCGCGUAGCCUUCCUGAGAGAUUUCCGUUGCCUGGGGAAGGUGCAUUCUUAGAGUGGGGAUGGGGGAGAAUCCUUCGGGCCCUUGGUGGCUGUGCAGCCUUGGAUCAAGCACUUAUCCACUCUGAUCCUCUGUUUUCGUAUAGGGCGGCGGUCCCUGUCCCCACUCCACUUGUGGAAAGCCGAGGCCACCCAGAGCCAGGCGCUGGACACCCCAUCCCAGCACGCCCCUCUGACCCACUUCUACCCGAGGAAAGCCGGGCCGCCAGACCGAGGGAGGCAGGGUCGCAAACUCAGCCUUCCGCACCCUGCGGGGCCCCCGAUGUGGGUCUCCCCUGCCUGCUUUUCCUGAGGGGCAUCUCUCAGAGCCAGGCUGACCUGCCUACUGCUGCCUCUGAGACCAGCUCCCACACUCAGAACCUUCCAGAGGAAAUAAAUGGAAAAGUUGGAGCAGAAAGUCGAUACGGGUUCGGAUGACAGCUUGGGGCAUCUGAAGUCACUGUGUCUUCCGUGUUCUUAAUGUUGCCACGAGUCUGAGUCAGUGCCCAGGCUUCCCGGGGCCUAGAAGAGGGGGAGAGCGGAGGACCUUCCUCCCCACUUUGUGGGAUUCUCUCAGGGGUCCCCUCAACCUGGUCUCUUUCCUGAUGGCAAGCAGAGGAAAACUGGAGGACAGGAACUAAGACCUGGUUGUGAUUUGGGGAGUGAGCAGGAGCUGGGAAUGAGGUUGGUUCAGAGGAGGGAGGUACAAUUCAGCCUGGUUGUCUUGGAAGAACUAGCCAGACGGGGCCCCCCCGCCCUCUGCGUCUCCCUUCCGUGCUUCAGAGAGUGGGCCGGGGUCUGUUCGCCAUCCUCCCCCCGCCCCGGUGGAUUCGAAGUGAGACUAACGGUUGUGUGAUGUGAGUUGAGCACCUGGUCUGGCCCUGGGACAGCAGCUGCGGUGCCUGCAUUGUGGCAAGCACGUUAUAGGAGGAGAAUGUAAUCACCCUGGCUGCGCUGUGACCUUACCCUCCGUGUGUGUGUGUGUGUGUGUCUCUGUAUGUGUUGGGGGCGGAGGGCUUGUGCCCUGGGUUGGGAAACUGAAAUUUUGGUGUGUUUCAAAGAAUUCCUUUUGAGUGUUGACACGGAGUAGGAAACCACAGCCAGAUGCCUGCAAGUUGCUGGGGAUGGGAGGUGGGGUUUUGGCUGAAGCUAAAUGGGAACAAGAGGAAGAGGUGGGAAUCUGGUGCGCUUACACACACACACACACACACACACACACAUACGUACAUACCUUACACCCAUGAACUCUGGGCCUCAUGGCGUACGUUGUGCCCACCACCACCGUCCAUCCUUUCUCGGGACCAAGGAGACGGUGUCCUCCUAUGGUUCACCUUCUUCCACCACCUCCCCUGGGUCCAGAACGCCGCAAUCUUUAGUUUAUUUAAAGAGAUUAAAAGAUUUUCAAACCAA